AAGGUGUUAGUAAAAUUUAUAUGACUUUGUCAAGGUCAAGUUAUAGGUGAAACUCCUGUACACCUUA
rnacentral:tRNA from 1 species